UGAAAAACCCGCUCGCCGGAAGACCAAGGGUUCCUGUCCAACGUUAAUCGGGGCAGGGUGAGUCGACCCCUAAGGCGAGGCCGAACGGCGUAGCUGAUGGGAAACAGGUUAAUAUUCCUGUACUGAAGGUGACUGCGAAGGGGGGACGGAGAAGGCUAGGCCAUCCGGGCGACGGUCGUCCCGGUUUAAGCGUGUAGGUGGGAGGAGCAGGCAAAUCCGCUCUUCUGU
rnacentral:rRNA from 1 species